GAUGAACGCUGGCGGCGUGCCUAAUACAUGCAAGUCGAGCGAACAGACGAGGAGCUUGCUCGCCGGGCGUCGGCGGGGGGCGGAAGAGUACCACAUGUACACCCUCCCUAUAGGACUGGGAUAAUUAGGGGAACCCGUACCUCAUACCGGCUAAUAUUUUAAACCGCGGGGUUCAAGAGUUAAAGCGGGUUUUGCGGCCCCUUACAGAUGAUGCGGUGCCGGAUUAGGUAGUUGGUAAGGUAACGGCUUACCAAGGCAACGAUGCGUAGCCGGCCUGAGAGGGCGAUCGGCCACACUGGGACUGAGACACGGCCCAGACUCCUACGGGAGGCAGCAGUAGGGAAUUUUCGGCAAUGGGCGAAAGCCUGAUGGAGCAACGCCGCGUGAAUGAUGAAGGUCUUCGGAUCGUAAAACGCUGUUAUUAGGAAAGAAAAAAUGUGUAAGUAACCAUGCAGGUCAUGACGGUACCGAAAGAGAAAGCCCCGGCUAACUACGUG
rnacentral:rRNA from 1 species